ACGAAAAUGAGAAUCGGUAAGUGCCACAACUCUUGAAAAACCGAGCAAGCAUUGAAAAAAAAAUACAGAAAAUAUAGAAAAGAGAAACAUCUGUUUUGUAAAUAUGAUGUGAAAGAAAAGAAAAAAUAGAGAAAAUGAAAAUGAAUGCUUGCUUGGAAGAAAAAUAGUGAAACACAAAAAUUGAGUUGUGAAAUAAGAGUUGUGAAGGUUUCAAAUGAGAAACAAAUGGAACGAAGUUGAGAUGUGUGAAUAAUGUACAGUGAAUGUCUCUUUUGCAUCGGCAAUUUCGUUUUCAAUAGCCUUAGAAAUGACCCUUGUUUGUUAACCUAACCAAGCUUCAACCGAAAAGUCCUUAGUGAUCUUCGUGCUUCCACAUUACCAUUUAUAAUUGUUAGACA
rnacentral:lncRNA from 1 species